rnacentral:rRNA from 1 species
CCUACGGGUGGCAGCAGUGAGGAAUAUUGGUCAAUGGACGCGAGUCUGAACCAGCCAAGUAGCGUGAAGGAUGACUGCCCUACGGGUUGUAAACUUCUUUUAUAAAGGAAUAAAAUGAGGCACGUGUGCCUUUUUGUAUGUACUUUAUGAAUAAGGAUCGGCUAACUCCGUGCCAGCAGCCGCGGUAAUACGGAGGAUCCGAGCGUUAUCCGGAUUUAUUGGGUUUAAAGGGAGCGUAGAUGGGUUGUUAAGUCAGUUGUGAAAGUUUGCGGCUCAACCGUAAAAUUGCAAUUGAUACUGGCAGGCUUGAGUACAGUUGAGGUAGGCGGAAUUCGUGGUGUAGCGGUGAAAUGCUUAGAUAUCACGAAGAACCCCGAUUGCGAAGGCAGCUUACUAAACUGUGACUGACAUUGAUGCUCGAAAGUGUGGGUAUCAAACAGGAUUAGAUACCCUAGUAGUC